GUUAGUGUGGCAGAGAUAGGUUAUGCAAAAGGUCUAAGCCCUUUCAACUUGGGUUCAAAUCCCCUCAUUAACU
rnacentral:tRNA from 1 species